CACACACUGCUGUGUGCUAACACAGGGUAUGUGUGAAGCGUCUAGUGCAGUAGUGUGGUGCUUGGAGCUAGUGCAUGUUGCUGCAUUGUGCUGCUCUCUGCUCACUGCUUCUGCCGCUGGCUAGCCUUCUGAAUGGAGGGUGAAAAGAAGAAGCUGACUUAGUUAGCUUCCUCCUGCCAGUACAAAGCCUCUCCACUACCAAGACUCCUGCAGUGCCUCCCCGGGGCCACACACGGAAACUGGGUACCUCACGGUCCCAGGCUAAACUGCAGGGGAUCUCGGAGCAGCAGCGGGCCCCAGAGACACGGCGUCAGGGCCACCACUGUGUGGAUAAACCCUGGUGCCUGUCAACCGCUGUCCCAGCUAUGGGUGAAUAGUCCCCCUGCAGGUGUAAUGUUGUCAGUUGUACUUACAGAGCCACUGAGGAUGCAGGCAAGGUGCACUUACAGACAGAGCCAGGAUCAGGCAUACCUGGGCUGGCUACAGGAAGGGGUCCAGGAGCAGCAGGAGCCAGUAGAGCCAUGGAUGACCUGCGGUUGGUCAUGGGAAGAGCUGCAGCAAUGUAGCAGCACUCUGCUGCAUCAGCGAGACUUCCUAGACGGUCCAACAUGUGUCCAAGGGGCCACAGCAGCAGUUCAAUGUGUCUCAGGCAGGUGCUCAUCAGCCAGAUGCUCUGCCAAUGGCUACAACAGAUCCAGGUAGCAGACCAAGUGACAACAGCAGCUCUGGAGACAACUCUAUUGAUGCAGCAACCACACAGAGGUAAGAUUUUCUAUU